GCCCUGGGGGACAGGGAGCACUGUGGCUUCUGGGGAGUAAACUAGCAAAUGGAGCUCUCAUGGUCUCUUUCGUGGGCUGUCUCUUAAACAAAUAAACAGACUCUGGACUUCUCAAUCAGGAAUCCAAACAGUCACUUAGCAGGAAGUGCCUUCCGGUCAGCAAGAGAAGAGAUGGAGAGCGAUGAUGGAUUCACGGCACGUUAACCACUGGACAACAACGGCUUCGAGCCCCACAGCUGACCUGCAGGGGACCCCAUGAGCUGGGCAGGGAAACCAGACACCGAGGGACCUGGACCACAGACAAGCUGGCUGCAGCGCUUCUCACCGGGGCCAGCACUCAAAGUCACACUGCGUCCAGGUCGCGAGGCCGCAGCUGCGGAGCGCAAGAGGGCAAGCCCCUGUCCAUCCCCGUGACGUGCUUGUGCCAGAGGCUGCUGGUUUUGCAAACAAACUGCACAGAGUUCCUGGCUGGCUGAGCCUCAGCCCUCGCUCCUCCCGCCCGCGUGGGGCACACCCGUCAAUGAAGCCCAGCUUGGCUCGAGGCCGUCUCACUGUGAUGAGUGCUGUGGAACCAAUGGCCUGCCUGCCAGCACUUCACUGCUCUAAGCCGCAGGGCCUUUCCUGGCAACAUGGGCAUCUAGUAUCUGCUUUGCUGGAGAGCUCCCUGCUGAUGGCCUGGGAAAGCAGUGGGAGAUGGUCCAAGUGCCUGGACCCCGGACACCCACGUGGGAGACCCGGAAGAAGCUCCUGGCUUCAGAUGAGCCCAGCUCCUCAGCCAUUGCAGCCAUUUGUGGAGUGAACCGGCAGAUGGAAGAUCUCGCUCUGUCCCUCUCUCUCUGUAACUCUUUCAAAAUAAAUCAAUAAAACCUUU